GUUGGUGGAACCUGGGCGCUGGGGAAGGGAGCGGGGACCCGGCAGCCCCGGGCGCUCCGCAAGUGGUGAGCAAUUUGGCCUGCUGAUAGGAUGUUACCUCUUUUUUCCUGCUGCCACCUUGGAUGACUUGUCCAGAGUCUUUACAAAUUACUAUUGGCAAUGUUGAAAUGUGAGUAGCGAUACUGGGAGGACCCAACCUACCCCUUGCGCCAUUGGCUCAUGAAGGCAUCCACCUCAACAGCACCCAGGAAAGAUUCAGCUACCAGCUCAGCAUGUGCAGAAUGACAGUUGGGUGCAUAGGCGGCAGCGUGAAAUGUUGGAGCAAAAAAUGGACGACCUACUGAGUCAUCAGAGACAAUUUGUCGAAAAUAAUCGUCGGUCCUUAGAACAGAAAAUAAAAGAAAAGGAAAAGUCUUCUACAUUUCUAAGAAGUGUUUCAUCAGCUACAUGACUUACUGACAGGGGAUCUGCCGUGCGACCAGAUAAACCAGGACUUGCAGCAAGCCAACGAUGCUCUACGAGCAGAACUCAACAAAGAAAUGGAGGAAAAAAACCUUCUUCGCUGCCAGUCUGAUCAAAAAUCUCAAGAAAUCCAUCAGCUGCAAGAAGAACUGAAAACAGCUAAACAGUUUCUGAAGGAGACCCAGAAUUAUGCGGAAGAGAUGAAAAGUGCUGAUGAGGUUGCCAUCUACCUACAUUCACUGACCCAGGACAACGAGCCAGAGUAUGAGCCAGACGGACUCCCAGAGGUGGUCAGAAAAGGCUUUGCUGAUAUUCCUACUGGGAAAACCAACCCCUGUGUUUUGCGCAGAACAGCGCUAAACCUAAAGACCAGUGCCCGUCUUGCUGCUCAAAGCCAAAAUUUGUCACCAUAUGGCCAACGUUUACAAAAAGGCAGGUCAGCUAAUUUUGCCAAGAUCUCUAAACCGACAGCUGGUGGCAGCAAAUCACCAAAGGUAGAUGAUACUCAGCAGUGCCAAGCAGAAACAGCUAUUGAACCCAUGGAAUCUAGUUCAA